rnacentral:snRNA from 1 species
GUGCUUGCUUUGGCAACACAUAUACUAAAAUUGGAACAACACAGAAGAUUAGCAUGGCUUCUGCACAAGGGUGACACGCAAAAGGGCCGCACAUGUGU